rnacentral:rRNA from 1 species
UACGUAGGUGGCAAGCGUUGUCCGGAUUUACUGGGCGUAAAGAGCGCGCAGGCGGUCGUUCAAGUCGCGUGUGAAAGCCCCCGGCUCAACUGGGGAGGGUCACGCGAUACUGAUCGACUCGAAGGCAGGAGAGGGUAGUGGAAUUCCCGGUGUAGUGGUGAAAUGUGUAGAGAUCGGGAGGAACACCGGUGGCGAAGGCGGGUCUCUGGGCAAUUCCUGACGGCUGAGGCGCGAAAGCGUGGGGAGCAAACGGG